CGGAUUAAUGCCCUCUGGAUUGGGUGUUCAGCUGUUAACUGUUAGUUUGUGGGAUCGAGGCCCACUAAUCCUG
rnacentral:tRNA from 1 species